rnacentral:lncRNA from 1 species
GCGAGGUUGGAUGGACUUCGUGCGUGACAAUCAUUUGGAAGUUGGUGAUCUGUGUCUUUUUGUGUUGAUUUCCAGCAAAAGUACACCUUUAUUUGAUCUUGUCAUGAACCCAUUAAACAGAAAAUCCAUGAACCCAUACCUAUAAGCACAUUAUUAACAGAUCGCAAAGCAUACACAUAAAACCCUUUAACAAAACAACCUAAUAUCAUUCAAUGAAUUUACAAGGGGAAGAUAGGGUUUGUACUUACAGGUUGGACGAGCUCACAGAUUCGACGGAGCCUGGAGAGUGCAACUUUUAAUUAGAGCAGAAGUGAGAGAGCGAAAUGUUAUGUCG